rnacentral:tRNA from 1 species
GGGCGAGUGGCGGAAUUGGCAGACGCACGGGACUUAAAAUCCCGAGUUCUGUAAGGAACGUGAGGGUUCAAGUCCCUCCUUGCCCA